UUUUUUUCUUUCAGUUUUUCUUUCUUCAAUCCCUCUUUUCUCGCACCCCUAACGCCGCCGGAGAUUUGCAACCUCACCGGUCGUAACCGUUCGUUUCGCGGCUCUGCUUCGUCGGAUUCCGUAUGGGAGAAGAAGCUACCCCCGAAUUAUCACGAUCCGCUUGAUUUGUUACCGUCUUAACCUCUCACGGUUUUGGACUUUUUCAUAAAUGCCCUUUGAAUUUUAAUUGGAUUUGGGGAUUAGGGUAAUAAGAAGAGGAAUCUCCGGUUUGUUUGUCCUCAGAGAAAGUAACUGUUUUCUCAUGGAUCUAUGUGUUUAACCUCCUAUUGGUCUUACUCUUGGUCUUAUGUUUCUUUAAAGAGUGGUGUGGGAUGCUCCAUAAACUGUAGAUGUGAAGGGUGUAAGAAUGCAUUUGGCCGCAAAGAUGGUUAAGCUUCUCUUCUUCUGAGUUUUCACUGCUAAACAGUCUUAAGUUCAAGGAAGAAGAUGAAGAUGAAAACUCCGACCCAAGUCGAUACCUUUGGGUUCAAGAGAAUCGGAACAGAGACUUCAGUGUCUGUGUCCAGAAGUUGAGUUGUUGAAAGAGAGGAUGGCGAAGCUACUGCGUCGUGAAGACAUUUCAGGUUCUGGUAAGGAGUUUGUCCAGCUCAUUCCAGGAAGAUGGAGAUAAAUGGUGGCUUCCUCUCUGCCACGUGUGCCAUCUGAUGGACUCUCUGAGCAGUCUAGGAAGAAGCUAGACCACUCGUGAUUUCACUAACCAAAGAAGGAUAUGGGUGUUGCUUCGAUGGGAUUCUGUACUAUCAAGCUAGAGUUGAUGAUCAUGAUAUAAUAAUGCGCUUUGAUGUCAAAUCUGAAAGCUUUAGUCCUAUAAAUUAUCCAAAAUAUUCCAGUUUUCGACGGUUGUAUAAGAUGAUGAUACCUUAUGAGGGAAGGCUAGCCUUAGUUA